UUCCACCCCCUGUCCUUGGCAAACUGUGUCCAAAAGACUAGCCUAACAUCUCCAAGAAGUGACCUGAUGGCUCUGGGGGAAAGUGGAAGCAAUCCUCUCCUCCUUACUUCCCCCAGCACCCCUCAGGGGCAUCUACCCAGCUGCGUCUCCCUGUGGCCAAUCUCUGUUCUCUGCCAGAGGUGCAGACCCUGAACUUGCUGCCGGCCACCCCCAGAGGAGGCAGAGUUCUUUCCCUUGUUGAUCCGAACAAACAGUGUUCCGAAGUGUUUGCGAUGUACUGAAACUCAAGCAAUUCUUUUCUCAUUUUCAAGUUACCUAUUUGGAUCAUCAGUUUAGAGCUAGAAGUUUUUGAAGAGGACAAAUAACAUCAUGGGGUGGUCUUACCUUGAGAGUGAGCUGGAUUUAAGCAAAGCAGAGCUGCACAAAGUCAUCAGAGUCAUCAAAGUCCCAUGGCAAGACAAGUCAGGAUGACUGGGAAUGUCCUGGGAUGCAUUGGAAGACCUUGGCAUUUUCAGUGUCUCAUCAAACUCUAAUGGCUCCACAGUACCUGCUUCAGCCACCUUCAUGGCUAUUGGAACAAAUUGUUCUCAUCCAUCCAUUCCACCAGGGGAAGUGUUCACAUGCUCGGGGUAGACAUCUCGCUAACUCACUGAUGGGUUUGAGGCCUUUUAGUCAACCUCAUCCUGGUUUAGCCUGUCUGCUGAGGUGACUUACUGGGGUGUGACUGAGGUGUGUGCUGCAGCUUCGUGGAACCACAGGUGUGAGUUAGCUAAAGAUAGACACCAAAGGUGGAUGACAAGCCAUGAAAAGGGCUCAGCAAUUCCAGAAGUACUAGUCCUCACUGAAUAUCUCAUACAGAUAAGAAAUAGAGGCAAUCAUACAAUAUAAAACGGAUAGUGCUGAUUAUAUGGAAUUGAAAAGCGUCCGCACUAGCAAAAUCAAUGCAACUUGGACAAGAAGAGAAGUUGCUAAUUAAGGGGAAAACCUUUUAAUAAGAUAUAUCUCUGAUAAGGUUUGAUAUUCACAAUAUAUAGAGCUAAUGUACAUACAUACACAUAUGCACCUGCAUAUAUGCAUGUGUGUAGAUACAUACACAUACAUGUACACACACAUAAUAUACAUAUAUAUGUAUAUACAUGACUAAGAGUUCUUACCCAAUGUAUAAGUGCUGAAAGUAUAUGAUCAAACAGUUCUCAUGAAAGAACUAAAACUAUUAACUAGGUAAAGACUAUUCCCAAGUACACACUUUUUUAGGUCACACUUACUCUUAGUAAAUUGACAAUAUGACAAAAGAUGGGGAAUAGCUAAUGUUUGGGGUUGUUGAUAUAGCAUGUCCUAAAAAGUCUUAGCAUAAUUUUAAGCUUUAAUAUUUUAGAUAGCCACAUUAAAGUAGUAUAGCCUCAAUAUUAUACUGGAAGUGUAGAAAUUAAUUGAUUCAACCAUUCUGGGAAACAAUUUUUUAUUAUGUUAAAAAAAAAGUGACUACAAUGUCUACACUUUUUUACUAGAAUGCCCUAAAUUAUAAAUUUCUUGAAGGAAAGGACUGUGUUAUAUUAAUCUUUGCAUCCCCAUUGGGUAAUGUCUUGUUUAUGGUAAUAGAUGCUUGAGGUUGAAUUGGAAUGGGAUGGAA